rnacentral:rRNA from 1 species
UACCAGCACCCCGAGUGGUCGGGACGAUUAUUGGGCCUAAAGCAUCCGUAGCCGGUUCUACAAGUCUUCCGUUAAAUCCACCUGCUCAACAGAUGGGCUGCGGAGGAUACUAUAGAGCUAGGAGGCGGGAGAGGCAAGCGGUACUUAGUGGGUAGGGGUAAAAUCCGUUGAUCCAUUGAAGACCACCAGUGGCGAAGGCGGACUUGCCAGAACGCACUCGACGGUGAGGGAUGAAAGCUGGGGGAAGCAA